GUCCCCCCCACACCUUGGGCACAGAGAGUUUGGGGCUCUAAACAGCUGCUGCUGCGGCAGGAGGGAGCCGAGGGCGCUUGGCUGGGGCUGCUCGCUCGGGUUCUGCCUGUUGUUGCGCGAAAUGGCGGCUGGCGUCUUGGUGGCUGUAUUCCAGACAUGGCCUGUGUUUAUGAUGUCCUUGAUGUGCUACUGGCUAUUAGCAAGGAACAUGAUAAGAAAAUCCCUCCAGACUGGAAGACUGCCCUCUGCGUUUGAUCAGCACAGCCUUGUUUGUACUGACUUUUACCUUUCUUUAGGGGUGACUCUGAACAGAAACUGUUAAGCUUCUUCUAAUUGUGAAGCUUUGAACCAAUAGCAGCAGUGAGAAUUUUCAGUUAUCUGAAGAAAUGUAUACAUCAGAAAUUCUUGGGGUUUUUUUCUG
rnacentral:lncRNA from 1 species